rnacentral:SRP_RNA from 1 species
GCUGGGCAUGGUGGCUCAUGCCUGUAAUCCCAGCACUUUGGGAGGCCGAGGCAGGUGGAUCACCUGAGGUCAGGAGUUCAAGACCAGCCUGGCCAACAUGGUGAAACCCCGUCUCUA